rnacentral:rRNA from 1 species
AUUGAACGCUGGCGGCAGGCCUAACACAUGCAAGUCGAGCGAGCGGCGGACGGGUGCGUAAUGUCUGGGAAACUGCCUGAUGGAGGGGGAUAACUACUGGAAACGGUAGCUAAUACCGCAUACAAUCAGAAGUGCCCAGAUGGGAUUGGCUAGUGGGGGGGUUAAAGGCUCACCUAGGCGACGAUCCCUAGCUGGUCUGAGAGGAUGACCAGCCACACUGGAUCUGAGACACGGUGCAGACUCCUACGGGAGGAAGCAGUGGGGAAUAUUGCACAAUGGGCGCAAUCCGGAUGCAGCCAUGCCGCGUGUGUGAAGAAGGCCUUCGGGUUGUAAAGCACUUUCAGCGGGGAGGCGUUACCCGCAGAAGAAGCACCGGCUAACUCCGUGCCAGCAGCCGCGGUAAUUC